CAAUUUUCUUCUCCUUUUAACAGACUUGAAAUCAGGUGUUGAAAUUCUGUAAAGGGUGUGUGGGAGGCAUGCUAAGCCAGAGGGUGUGUGCUCUCUUGUCUCCACUCUGGGGGACGGCCGGCUGGCCGUGCAUCAUUUUUUUACAGCUGUAUUUGCACAGUUGGGGAAGUAACAGUGUCAUCUUGAAACGGCAGAUACGAUGAUGUACGUGUUUGGGGGCAUCGAUAGAGCACAGUGAAUCAUGCAGUCUGCGAGUCAGCCACUCUAUAAGUCAAUCCACGGUGCCCACCAAAAGCUCCAUAGGAGCUAUGUUCAGAGGAGGCUUCCGUAUCAAAUCCCUCUGCUGCUAUGCAGAGGCAUGGGUAGCCAACAGAAAUCUUCAAGAUUGAAUUUUUGAAAGCAUUUUGUCUGCAGUGUGACAUGUUUGGAAGAAAAGGGCUGUGUUAAAUCUCGAAAGCUCCUCGCUUGUGGGGAAUUGGAAGAAAAGUCCAUAAUUAUCACACUCUGGACUCCCCAUGUACCUGUGAAUUGGGAAUUCUGGUCUUUCAGAGGGGCUAAUGGAAUGUCUACUCUUGAACGCUGAUCCUGCCUGGGCCUAUUAUUGGAGAAACAGAAACAGAAGAUUCUGGAAGCAGAUGACAGCAAACAAAACCCACGGGCACCUAGGGGAACACGGUCACCUGCCUGCUCCAGCUGAGAUAAGAGCGCGACCUCAGAGGAAUAAUACACUUGACCUCCCUUCAUCUACUGUCUUUGAAGCCAUGUUGGUUAAGGAAUAAGCCUAUGGCAUAUUGGGUUCGGGGACUCGGUUUAAAGCCCUUGGGUAUUUUACCCGUGUCCUUGAGGAUCCUAUUCACACCCUCUGAGACUUCAUACUUUCAUCUGUGAAAUGACUUUGACAGGGUCUUUAGCCUAGACUGGCUUUGAACUCACUGUGGAGCCAAGGAUGAACUUUACCUCCCAGGAGCUGGAAUUACAAGUACUGGCCACCACCUGGAGAUGGAACCAGAAGGUCACGCAUGCCAAGUAAGCACUUUACCGAUGGGACCACACACCACAGCCUCUCCAGGCUUGUCUUGGAAUGCUAUAUUCCAAGCAGCUUGUUUUCGUGUGUCUGAAAAUGUUUUUGGAUUUGAGAAAAACAUAUACAGGAACAGGAAUGACCUCAGAACCUGCUCCUUGCAAACAGACCUCCAGUCUCCCUGCUUAGUGCACAUGGAUUUUCCAUCUUUCUCAACCUGCAGCCUCUCACCCCAGCCAUAGUGUCCCGUCCCCCCCCCCCCCCACCUCCACCACUCCCCGGCCCACACACUGCCCUCUCCAUACACUACAGACUCACCAACCUCUCUGAAACACAGCUCUGAUAACGUAAGGCCUUUGGUAAACCCCUAUGAUAUCCACCUUCAGGAGAAAGAUAAAAGUCUUUAGCUUGGCUCCAAGGCCCUUUGUCCUGUAUCCACUAGCAUCCCUUUCACGGUCCACGGCCAGAUUCCAAGCAAUCCAAACUGUUUUUGCUAGGUUCUUCGUGCACUUGCUGCCUCCAAAGCCUCAGCUCAGACUAAGCUUUCACCGGGCAUAACUCCUCAAUUCUGAAAAUAGCUCCAUCCCACUCUCAGCAGCUAGGCACACUUUUUCAUGGAGUCCUUCCUUUUGAUCUGAUGGCCAGUUGAGUCACCCAAUGCCUACUGCACUUUUUUUUUCUUUCUGGGGCCUGACUAUGCUUCAUUUUCCUUUUCCUCAUUCAUAAUUUUAAGAAAUUAGUCUUUUGGGUUAGCAUACAGUGGAAUGGGUGUCACCAUAGCCUCUUCAGACAUAUGUGUGACAUCGUGCUCUCUUCUCAUCCAUUCCAUUCCCCAAUGCUCCCCCUGGUAGUUCCUGUUCCCAGGAAAUCCCUCCCUUACCCCUUUUUAGAACAGGCAUUCUAUUAUCUCUCCAUUGCCCACCUUCCAUGAUCUCCUUUCUAGUUUUGUGACCUCUACAUAUGUACACGAUGAUCUUAAAUGUAAGCUCCUGCAGUGAGAGAAUAUACUUUGUUUUUGUCUUUUGGAGUCUGGCUUAUGCUGCUUAACAUAAUGAUUUCUAGUUCCAUUCAUUUUCCUGCAAACGUUAUAUUUCAUUUCUCUUCCAGGCUGCACAAAAUUCCAUUGGGUAUUUUCUUUAUCCAUUCAUCUGUUGCUGGACAUCUUAGGUCUCAUCUCAAACGUCACCCUCUUGGAGGAAGCUUUCCUGAUGUGCCUUCUAAGGGACACCUCUCUCUUCUCCUACUGUACUUCUUACACCAUUUGCAUAACAGUCUCAUUAACCAAAAUCAUCUACUGUGAUCACUUUAUUGUCUAACUCUUUCUAAUUAAAGGUAAGCUUCACAAGUGAGGACAUACUCAAAAACAUCUUGCAAUGAAACAAGGAGAUAAGCACAAGAACCAGAGUAUUGUGUAGUCUUAAAACACUUGCCCUCAUAAAACAGGUUAAUUAUAAAAAAGGAAAACAGGAACUUUGCCCCAGAAGAGAAAUCUAUCAAACCAUUACUUUGUCAGACAUUCGCUUCACCAAAAACAGCCUAGGGCUGGUAACAUCCUUAGUAAUCAUACAUCUUGACACCAGAUAUCAUCUUGAUCUGUUGCGCUGAGACAGUAUCACUUCUGUGGUCUUCUCCCAACUGCAUAGGACCUCAGUCUAACAAGGAGAGCAUUUUAGAUAAACCCAAAUUAGACCCCAAAGACAUGGCAGCUCUGACCCCAGCAAGGACUGAGAUUAUUUGUCUUUCUUUUGCCAAAAACCUAGCACUCAUGACAGAUUCUAAAUCUUUGAUUGAGUUUAAUAUGAUUAAAGUAGCUCCUAAUUUGAAUUAAACACACUGGCUGUGUUAACACAUGUAGUGCCCCUCCAAAGAGGAUUAUCCAGUUUCCGGUGGGCAGGUUACCAACACUGGCUACUGACCAGAACUGGCACAAUGUAAGGGCUUGCUGAAGUGGGUCUCAAGACUGGGGAAAUUGGAGCAAGUUUAGUUCACAGAAACAAGAGUCUACUCUAGGCGACCAAGGGAAGUGGAUUGUUUUCAACACCAAUAUCUAUAAAAUCAUGCUGUUUUGUCCUCCAAAUACUAGGACUCAAGAAAAGCUCAAGCUUUGACUGUCUCUCCAGUGUGGAACAGGAAGUUUCAUUUGUAAAUAUUAUUUUAAUGCUGUAUAUCAAGCAGUCCAGUGUGUGACCAUUUUCUGAUAUAUACUUUAGUUAUUUACAAUAAAAACUACAUAAGGUUAGGUCAACACAUACGUUAUAGAUGAGGAAAGUAAGGCUGAGGGAAGUCAAAACACUGGUCCUAAUUUAUACAGCACUAAAGACACAAAGGAAGAAACUCAAACUAUGCUGCCGAUCAUCCAAAGUGCUUGACAAGGGGCCUCCAUAGUGACUGAUCUAACCCUGUACUUCUUUGAUGCAUCUUGAAUGUUGCAAAGAGACAUUUGCAAGAGACAUUGGCUAGACUUGUCCCUGGUUGUGGUCACGAUCUUGUCUGAUAGGAGCUGAAGCCAGUGACUGGCUAGAGCAGGGUGGGAAAGGCUCGAGGGGCACGGUCAUCGGAGCAGGGCCCUAUCCUGUCUCACACACGAUUUUGGGUGUGGGGUCAGUCAGGGCAUCUGCCCUUUUCUGAGUCUUAGCUGUGUGAUCUGCCAGAUGCUGCAGACAUAAAGCCCUUCUGAUAUUCCAGCAAUGUUCUAAGUUGGGUGUUAAGCCUAGCCUCCUCUUUGGAGAGUCGAGUCCUGUUAUCUUAUUUGCCAUGGACAGAUAUGGAUUAUUUUGUCUGAAACAUGUGCCAUGCUAAUUAGAUCAGCUUGCUAGCCCUCCCUCUUUCUUGCUCUCUUCUCUUUCAUUGCUUCUAUUUCUGUCCCUGAUUCUCUUUCACUUCCAUGCUCCAAAUAAGACUGUUGUGUUAGCUCUACAAUCAAAACAAUCUAAUUCACGGUACAAGUGAACAUGCACAACGUCCCUAGGGAGGACCUUGGUACAGAUACAAGAAAGAAAAGCUCAAAAACACUCAACUGACCAAGAGAAGUCAGAGAAACUGGAAUACAAAAAUUUUCUAUUGAUAAAUGUAGAAUGUAGAGUUCUCAAUUUUGCUCUUGGCCAGGCAAUGAUUUGGUAAGGAUGGCUUCUCUCCAUCCUUGGGGGUUGGGGGUGCAGACCUUAGAAAUGAGAACUGUCUUGAUUGUUAUUUUCUUAAAGAGGUUUUCUCCUAGGUGAUUUUUCCAGAAUCCUGAAUCCCUUGAAGUGUAGUGGUGCAAGGAACCACCUUGACAUCGGGUACCAUCUUGACCUGCUGCACUGAGACAAUCUCACUUCUGUGGUCUUGUCCCAGUUGCAUAGGACCAAGAGCUCUUGAUUAGAACUGAGCCUCUUCUGGUUGUCAACAGACUGGUGUCAGAUGUUGCCCAUUGCCAUAGUUACUUGACCAAAAAGGCUUGACCUUCAUGGGACUGGCCUGCGGGCAUGUCUGUGGGGCAGUUUCUUGGUUGAUAUAGGAGGGCACACCCAGUAAGAACUCCUCCUCCAUGGUCUCUGCUUUACUUCCCGCCUCCAGGUUUCUGCCUUGAGCUUCUGCCCUGCUUUCCUUCAGUGAUGGCCUGGGAUGUGGAAGUGUAAGAUAAAAUAAACCUUUUCCUUCUCCAUGUUGCUGUCGGUCAGUGUCCUUUCACAGCAAUAUAGAAACAAACUAGAACAGCAGUUGGUACCAGGAGUGAGGUAUUGCUGUGACAGGCUUGAUCAUGUUUGGGGGAAGACUGUGGAAGGGUUUGGAGCUCUGAGCUGGAAAACUCACUGGAUGCUCCUUGCUUAAUGAAAUGUUCUGGGAACUUAGAAGAUAGUGCUGAAAAAUGUACACAAUGGGGGCCUGGCUUUUGAAAUUUCAGAUUGAAGUUUGAGAGUCCCUCAAAGUCUGCAAUGUAGCUGGAAGUUUUCCUGUGUCCUGCCUGGUCCUGUGGCUGCUCAGACCCAAGUAAACACACAGAUGCAUAUAUCAAUUACGAAUUGCAUGGCCAUGGCCUAUAGCUCAAUUUUCUUGCUAGCUAGCUCUUAUAACUAAACUCAGCCCGUUUCUACUAAUCUAUAUGUCACCAUGUGAUCCGUGGUUUUACCUGUGUGCCAUUCCAUGCUGUUCCCUGUAUGGUGGGAUGGCAUCUCCUCUACCUCCCCUUUCUUCUUCCUGUCUCUCUCCUGGAUUUCCUGCCUGCCUCUAAGCUGCCUUGCCGUAGGCCAGACAGCUUUAUUUAUCAAACGAUCAGAGCAACACAUAUUCACAUCAUACAGAAAGACAUUCCCACAGCACCCCAUCAUGACUGUGUGAUACUUUGAAUGAAGAAUCUGUGGUUUCUGGUGAGCAGAGGCUGAAGGAUCAGCCAUGAUUAACAAGAGGCCAGCACUACUCUAGCUCUUUCUUUACUGGGACAAUCAAUGCUGGUUAUCGCGGUGGAAAAAAAAUCUGCUUUGAAUAACAGGAGCUCAUCAUCAUUGAAAUGAACUCUUACAGGAAGUAUUUCCUCAAAGGUCAGCACACAGAAAAUGUGGUCUGGAGGGGGUUAAAGUUGAACAUCAAGAUGGCAGCAACAUUUGGUAAUACGUAAGAAUUUCUUACAUGGUACUAGUUUUGAAGACACGAUAGGCUCAUGAAUAGCAGCGGAGCCUUGGCACUGUGAGAUGUCGGGGAUGUCAGGAGUAGCUGUGAAGGUGCAAUCUCACUUGCUGUGGAGACCUCCAGCAUACUGGAGAUGCCAGCACCGUAGGAUGACUGCCAGGGACAAAGGAAUCUAUGAAAUGGAGGUAGUCUGCGCUUUCAGACAAGCGGUGUGUGCUGUAGACAGCAGAGCAGGAGAAGGGGAGAUACCCAAGAUGUUCGAGGCCCAGAAGAUUGUGACUGAGUCCCAGAUGUCAGACACUGAGCCACAGUAUUUUAGUUACAAUGCUAGACUUUGGUUUUGCUUAAGUGUCAUUGUUUUUAUGCCCUGGAUCUUCCCUCUAGGAGUAAUAAACCAUUUCACUUAAAAAAAAAAUAAUUUUACAGGAUCUUACAGUUAAAAGACUUAUUUUAAAGAAAGAUUGAAAAUUUAAGUCAUGGCAGUUUUAAAGACUUUGGGGCUUUUAAAGCUAUGUUGCAUUUUAUAUUAUGAUAUAAAUACAAGAUCUUGAGGAAACACAUGAUAGGAAAGGUUAUGUUUUAAAGUAUUGUGUUUGUGGGUCAGCAUUGACAAAGGGUAGAAUAUCACAGUCAGCGUCAGGUGUCAACAUAAUACACCUAGGAAGAGCAAAUCUCAACUGAGGAGUUACUUCCAUGGGAUUGGCCCAUGGGCAUGUCUGUGUGACUGCUGAUUGAUGUAGAAGGACCCAGGCCACUGUGAGUAGUACCAUCCCUAGGUAAGUGGGCCUGGGCUUUACGUAAAAAGCAGCUGAAUGAGACCCAGAAAUGAAGCCACUGAACAAAAUUCAUCCAUAGUAUGUGUGCUCCAGUUUCUGCUUCAAGGUUCCUGCCUUGAGCUCUUGGGUUUUCUUUCUCCAAUGAUAGACUGUGGCACAGAAGGGCAAGAAUAAAUAGACCCAUUCUUUCCCCAUGUUGUUUGGUCAGUGCUCUAUUACAUGAGUAGAGAAGCAAGCUAGAACCCAUUAUAUUUUUAAAUUCCAGAUUCCUUACUUGUAAAAGGGAAUACCAAUAUACACCUAUUAAGAUAGAUAGUAUACAGCAACAGCAUCAAGAAAAUAGUAAAUGUUGACAGGGCGUAGAAAAAUUGGAGCCUUCAUGCAUAUGCUGGUAUGAAUGCAAAGUGGUGCUGUAGGAAAUUCUGUAAACUUCACAAAUGUUGAAAGUAUAAUUGCCAUGUGACCCAGCAACUCCAUGACUAGGGAUAUAUUCAAGAGAACUGAGAAUAAAGAUUCAGAUAUUUGCACACCUCUAUUCAUAUCAGCAUUAUUACAAGUCAUGAAAACAACUCACAUCUACUGACAGUUGAAUAGAUAAAUGAAAUGUGAUACAUUUGAAAAUAUUACAUGAUUUGGCUUUGAAAGAAGAAAGACAUUCUGACUUGUAAUCCAACACUGAUGAACAACGAAGAUAGGACGCUAAGUGAAAUAAGCUAGUUACAGAAAGACAAAUAGUACUGAAAUAUAAGGUUCUUAUUACAUGGGAUACCUGAGUAAUGUAAAGUGAUGGGGACAGGAAGUGGAAUAGGAGCAGCAAGGGCUGGAGGAGGAUAAGGAGCUAGGGUUUGCCCAGAGCAGAAUUCAGAUUUCACAAGAUGAAAGGAGUCUAGGAAGAGAUGCUAGUUACGGUUGCUCAAUAAGUCAAAUGUACUUAAUUCCACCAAACUGUGUAUUUCCAAUGACUAAACUAUGAAAUUUUAACCACAAUACAAAUGGGGUUAUUUCGAGAUGAAGCUGGGUGUCACAUCUAAGAUAUUUGGAAGAAUGUCCAUCACGCAGUACUUGCUCUGUACAUAUUGGCCUCCUACUCUUCCAAACAGAUAACUUAUCAUCUUCUUUUUUGCCUUCUUAAGAGAUUAGGAUUAAAUAGUGGCCACACACAUGGAGCCAUAAAGAAUAACAGUUCUCCACUAAGAUGACCUCACUGACAAGUGGGAGCUCCUAAUUUCAGGUCGUCCUGGAGACCCUGCUUUCUUCCAUCAUAUUUUUAAAGAACAGUCAAUUUUUGGAGGUAAACUAAAAACAUUCCAAUAAAGAAUCAACAUACAUUUCUCUUCAGCUGAAAACAAGAUGGGAGAAAGUUUCUGGUUUGAAAGUUUAAGGUAAGUAACUGUGAUGGCUAGUUUUGAUUGUCCACUUGAUUGCAUUCAGGAACACUGCAUGCAUCAUAGCUCUUGUGGUGAGUCCAUGGGGGCAUAUUCGGAGACAAUCAGCUUGUGGGGGCUCUGGUUCAGCAGAUUAAUCUCUUGGUAGAUUCAUAGUGGAAUGCUGUGGUGGUUAGUUUUGUCAACUUGACAUGACCUAGAAUCACCUGGAAAGAGAACCUCGGUGAGGAAUUGCCCAUAUCAUGUUGGCCCGUGGGCAUAUUUGUGGGAGAUUGUCUUAAAUUACUUGAUAUGAAAAGACCUAGCUCACUACAGGCAACACAAUUCCCUAGGCAGCAAUUCCUGACUGUGGAAGAGUGGAGAACAUAAGCAACAAAGUGAACAUUCACUCAUUAAUUUCUCUUUGAUCUUGACUACGGCUGUGAUGUAACUAGCUGUUUGAAGUUCCCAUCUUGACUUCCUUACAAUGAUGGACUGUGACCUGGAAUUGUAAGCUCUAAGUUGCUGGUGUACAGGGUAUCUUUUAUCAUAGCAACAUGCACAAGACUAGAAAAGAAAUUGGUAUGGAGGAAGCGGGGUUGUUGCUGUGAUAAACUUGACAGUGUGGCUUUUAUGUCUUUGGACUAUUUUUUUUUUUUUUUGGAAUCAUUUGGAAGGUGGGCUUGGAAAAGCCAUCGGAUGUCUGAAGCAGAGCUAAUGGGCUGUUUCAGUAGGAGCUUGGGAGAUAAGAAUGCUGAUAAGAAACAUGGAUGGUUGAGGCCCCAUUCACAAGGUUUUAGAGAUAAACAACGCCACCAGGAAUAGGCAUCAGGUAGGUGGUGAAAUAUAAGCUACAUAGAGCAAGUAGGUCACUAGUGUUAGUUCCUUGGGGGCUAUAUUGUAUCUGGCUCCUUCGUGUAUUCUUUCUCUGUUUCCUGGCCUGUGAUAAUGUGAGCUUGAAUGAAUUCUCCAAACUGUGAGGCAAAAUAAAUCUUUCAUCUACUGUUUCUCUUAGCAUAUUAUUUCACAGCAUGUAUACCACAUACACACAUAGUCUUUAGCCCAACAGACAUGUGAAUAUGAGGCUUGAUUAAUGUAUUAGAGCUAUAGUCUUGGUCACCUGGCUAAAUAUUGUUUCUACCACAUCUGGCUACCUAUGCCCAACUGACCUUCAGAAGCAAGACUGAAGGGUAUACUAGAGGAAUAAGGAGGAGGAGUUCUGUUAAUGACGGGAAAUAGGCUUCCAUAGAAGAGUCCCAGAAUGCUUUUACAAAUCCCUUUUCAGUGUAUUAGCAGCCUCUGCAUAUAGACAGCCUGCAAAUAUCAGGGCAAGCUAUUCCAAAGCGCCCAAUUUGUUGGUUAUAUUUUUGUCAAUUUGACAUAAGCUAGGGUCAUCUGGGAAGAGGGAAUCUCAGUUAAGAAAAUGCCUCCCUCAUAUUUACCUGUAAGCAAGUCUAUAAGUCAUUUUAUUGAUUAAUGUGCAACGUGGGAAAGCCUAGCUCACCACGGGCAUUACCACCCAUGGGUUGGGCAAGUGAUCCAAGGUUGUGUAAGGCAGGCUAAGGAAGCUACUGAGAGCAAGCCAGUAAACAGCGUUCUCCCAUGGCCUCUGCUUCAGUUUCUGCCUUUAGGAUCUUCCCUCGGGUCCCUGCUCUGUCUUCCCCCAGUGAUGGGCUGUGUAGGAAGUGUAAGAUGAAACAAACCCUUUCCUCCUCAAGUUGCUUUUGGUCAUGGUGUUUGUCAGAGGAACAGAAAGCAAAGUAGGACUCAAGGUGAAACCCUUAUCCCGACUCACCCCCGGUCUAGUCAGCCUGGGACCACAUCACUUUUCCAUGUCCCUUUUUCAGAUGGAAAAUCUUUUUAAAAAUCAUGGAAUAGGAAGGUUGUGUUUAAAUAACUGCUUCAAACCUACUAUAUCUGAGUAUGGAAGGAAAUAAACGUAAAAGUGGGUGAAUUAUUGAUGACCUGCUGUGUAUUAGACACUAAGAGCUUUGGACACAUUAUUUCAUUCAUCCUCCAAUCAUAAUUCUUUGAAGUUGGUUUUAUAAUUCCAAUUUUACAGAUAGGACACAGAAUCUAAGAUUAAUGAGGGCCUGACCAAUAUAAAAUAAAAAUUCAUACACUUUCUCCCUGCCCAACCAGAACCUCCCAGCUUCUCUAAGGUAUUUUUUUUUUAAACACUAUAAGAAGUUUAGGAAGGUCUCAUAUGUUGCUCUCACCAAAAGUCUGUGUACAAACCCAGCAGUAUGCUUAGCUUAUAGGAAAUUUAUUUUAACCCACAUUGACUAUUGGUUCCCACAAUGUUUACAUACACGUGCGCACACAGUGUGGAUUACGUCUGAGUAUUUAUGUAUAUAUUUGCAUUUGAUAAUCAUUUGAGGUCCAGUUAUAUAACUUAGGAAACAGCCUGGUAAGAUCAUCAAUAACUUGAUUUAUUCGGCUGAAAAUAGAGCAGGCAAACAUCUGCUCAAUCACUCCCAGUACUUGGCUUCACACAUGCUCUGCUGUUACGUUACAUGGAAAUUUUAAGUAUUCUGUUAAGGGUUGGAGUCAUUUGUCAUCUGUCCUUCCCAACAUGCUGGGAUAAGGAGAACCACUAAUCAUUACCCCUUGAAUUUGCUGUUUUUCUUCUCAGGAACUCUAUAUCCUGUAUAGAUACUGCAUCAAUCUUGCAAAUGCCUUUGAAACAAUCUUGAGGCAUGAAAUUUUCCUUGACCUACAGAACGCAUUGGAAAUAGCAUACUGUUCCCCGUGGAUUGAACUGGGAGACUUCAGUGGUGUCUAUUGCAAGCAGACGUGGGUAAUAGUGACUUCAUUUCACAGAUAGUGACCAGACAACUGAACCAUAGCUGAAGCAUCCAUUAAGGUCUGGGUCUCCUGGUGCUGGAGAAAAUUGUCAAUAAUAAUAAAAGUUGCCAACAGUACUGACUGCUUACAUUGUAGGAGAGGCUGUGCUAAACUGAAGGCACAGUUACUACUCAGCCAUCUUUUUUGUAUUAGUAUCUCCCCCUCUCAAGAAAUAAAAUAUCCACUGUAGAUGCUCAUUACCCCAGAAUAUCUGGUUCCACCUCACUGAACUAUCCCCAGUCAUGCGAGACUAUGGUUUUCCAUUUUGAUGGGUAGGAGAGUCACUUGGAAAAUGUCUCAAAAUGUAAGUUCUUGGAACUCACCAUAAUUUCUCUUUUGAGAAGUGUGAACUUAUGUCUAAAAUCAUGAGUAUUUUUGGACCCCCCCCCAAAGGAUGCUUGUGAGGUUAGAUUUUAAUUAUCACAGAUACAGAACACCAAAUGCCAUCAUUUUUGAGAAAUUAUUUUAUUAUUUUUUAAUUAUAUGUAUGUGUCUGUAUGGGAGAGGUAUGUACACAUAAGUGCAGGUGUUCUCAGAAGUCAGAGGUGUCAGUACCCCUGGAGCUGGAAUUAUAGCCAUGAAGAGCAAGACAGUAAGCAGUGCUCCUCUGUGGUCUCUGCUUGAGUUCCUGCCUCCAUGUUCCUGCCCUACCUGAGUUCCCGCUCUGGUUUCCAUCAUGAAGCUGGAAGAAGAUAGCCUCAAAAAGUUAUGUGACCUGCUCAAAAUCUUCCAGCAAGUAAGAUGGGUCCUGGAUUUGAACUAAGAUUGGAUGACUCCAUAUGUUGAACCCCACCAUCUACAAGUAAGGGCUGUAGUGACUACCCUGCUUUAGAGCUGGAUGGAUCCUAUGAGAAGUUCCCGCUUCUAACAGAAUUGAAACAAAACAAAGCGGUAACCAUGUUACUGCUGAGGUCCCACCCCCAUCUGGCUUCGAGGUCCAGUCCUAAUGAGGCCUGAGGGGGUAGAAAUGAGCCUGUGGAAUUCUCCUAAGGAAGCCACUCUUGCUGCCCAUCUGAGCGAAGGGGCAGACAGCUGGUCAACAAGAUGGAUGGCUGGGUGUCGUGUAUACUGCUGACAGUUUUCCUGAAGUCGAACUGGAAUGGCUGAGGGAAUCACUCAGCCAUGGCGACAGGCGGGAAACAAGCAGAGAACUCCAGCAACACCAGGAUGCAGUGGUCCAAAGUGAGCCCCGAAGCAAUGGAUUUAUCCAGAACUGCAUAGAUGCUAGCCGCCAAGGACAGAGGCAGUGCAAGGGAGAUGUGUGCUUAUGGUGGGCAACUGAUUAGCAAGAAGGAAGAAUGGAAGUAGAGCCCUCAGAGAAUUGUCUUCAGAUGUGUAACCUGCCUGUCUCGUUACUUAAUAGUGACCCAAGACAGGCUUCUUAAGUGACUACAUCCACAUUUUUCGGACUACAUUUUGCACUUACCAUUUUAUUAUUAAGCUCACCUUAUGGAAUAGGUAUACAGUGAUUAUUAUUCACAUUUUGAAGACGAAGAAACUGAGACACAAAUGCCAUGAGUCAGGGGCCUGAUACACUGGUUCAUGGAAUAUAUACCCAGGGGAUUAUUGUCUACUUGUCACUCCUCCUCCUCCUCCUUUUCCUUCUUUGGUUUGGAGGGGGCAGGGAUCUGGUCUAUAGCACAAGGGGGCUUGGAACUCACUGAACAGUCCAGGGUGGCCCCUAAUUUCUGCCCAUCCAUCCAUCCUCCUGUCUCAGCCCCUGGAUGCUGGGACCAUAGGCAUGGAGUUCGUGAGGCUACUGUGUUUCAGGAUAUGCAUUUGAUUGUGACUGAAGCGUAGUGGAGAUGGGGAGGCAUGGCCUCUUCUCUCAUAGUUCACAGAUGAUGUGGAUAUGGUAAUAAUCUUUGCAAACUUCCCAAAAGGGGAAUGGGGGCCUGGUUGAUGGACAAUGGCACAUGGUGGCCUCAGGACUAAUGUUACUUAGAAAAAGCUUUGGAAAGAGGUGACACUUCCAUUAGAGAAUUUUUUUUUUCUAGCAAAAAAAACCAGUAGUUUAAGAAAAUGUUCUAAGCUGGGUGUCAUGGCACACAUCUUUAAUUCCAGAUCUCGGGAGGCAGAGACAGGGGGAUCUCUGUGAGAUUGAGGCCAGUCUGGUCUACAGAGUGAGUUUCAGGACAGCCAUGGCUACACAGAGAGACGCUGUCUCAAGAAGUUCUAAGGCACAGUCAUAAACUAAGUUGGGUCUUUAGAGGGGUUCAGCCAAGUGCCAGGAACUGCAUUGGCUGCUGACAAUCCUGGGGGUGUGAUGAGAUAGAUAAGAUUCUUGCUUGCAUGAAGCUCCUUUGUAUCAAGGGGGUUCAGACAGUAAACACGGAACCAAGUAUUCAUUAAUUACAGACUGCUAGUAGUGCUAAAGGGAACCAAAUGAAAUGCUGAGGCAGAAAAAACCAGACCCAGCAAGCAUUCCCAAGGUGGUGAUCUUUCUUAGCUGAGAUCCAAGUGAGGUACGACGGAUGUCAGCAUAAGGCUCCAUGUUGGGGGAACAGUAAGUACAUAAGGCCCGUGGCUUAAAGAAAGGAAGCUAGAAAGUGGAGGCAAGUGUCACAAGUGAGGAGCUGGGCAAGCAAAGCCAGGCCCUUCAGGGCCUUCGGCUAAGAUUUUAUUCUAAGACAAAAGGAAAAUCACCCAAAAGUUUGAUAGUAAAGCGGUAUACUGACCUAUCAAUGGCCCAACCAUUUGCACCUCCCUAAUAAGAGCCUUUUUGUCCUUCAUAUCCUAACAGAGCAGGACUCCUGGGUUGUCAGCAGGCCACAGGCAGCCUGGGCUCUCUGCUCCGUUCAAGGCCGUCACCUCUGUGGAACAUUGAGGUCACCCUGGCUGUUGCUCUCUGGCCCCAUGCUCCCUGCCUGCAUUCUGGUCCUGGCUGUCAGAAUGACUAUCUACGAUGCUAGCCUAGCAUAUUAUUGGGUUUAUCACCAUUUUGUGGCUCCCUACAUCCCAGGGGACCAAACCCAUCCUUGCUGAUGAGCCUGAAGGCCUGCCUGGUUUCUCUCUGCGUCCCCAUGCUUAGCCGCCUCCUACAUCACUUGACCAUCAUACAAGGCUGUGAUUUACCCCAUCCCCUCUUUUGUUCCGUCCUUUCCAAAGUAUAUAUUUACCAUUUACUUACUAUACUAGCUGCUUUUCUUAUCACUAUAUAUAAAAAAAAUCAGAGAGAAACACAGCAAGAAUUACUGCUUUGGGCUCACAAGUUGUUUGGCCCCAUGUACUUGAGCAAAUCAUGAAGACAGCAGGAGUAUGUGGUAAGGGAGCUUCCUCACUUCCUGUCAGACAGGAAGUGGGGAGGGGAAGCCAUAGACAAGAUACCUGCAAAGACCUACCUGUUGGUGAUCUACUUUCCCUAGCUAGGCCACACCUCUUAUAGCUUCCAGAACCUCCCAACAUAAUACAACACCAUCGGCUGCCAACCAAAUCUCUAGCCUAUGAGCCUAUGGGAAAGGCUUCAUAUCACAUCAUAAUAUGCAGCCUGACCCCAUCACCUUAGUAUAAGCCAUUAUAAUGUUUUACCUGGUUCGGCAAUAGCCUCCUAUUUCCACUUCAGCUCUCUUCCAAUUCAUUCUUUACAGUACCCAGAGUAAAUGCUAAAAAUGCUGGGGGAAAGCCUUUGCUCAGUGAGACCUAGCUGGGAUUAGUUCUUCUGCCCUGGGAUCCUGAGGCCAGAAAGCUGAGGACUUCCCUCCUGAAUGGGGCUACCCCAAUGGCAGUUUUCUAAUCCUAUGGAUUACCCAGGCACACACGCACACACACACACACACACACACACACACACACACACACACACACACAAAACCCAAACAUUUAGCAUGCCUCCCCAAGUUUCCAUGAGAGGAGAGGCAGUCUAGGGCUCUGUUCCUCCACUAAUUCUGGGACAUCAGCAGUUCUAUAAUGGGGCUCACCAUGCUGGCUGAACUGCCUGGACAGGCAAUGAUCACCCUGUCAAAUGAAAAGUUCACACAGACUAAUAAAUGCUCGAUGGGGCCCCACACACCAGACAGGAAGAUGUACUUAGGUGUCACAAGUAUACCCUUUUCAUUCAAGCUUCCAGUUGUCCUCAGGGCCCAAUGAGUGCAGGAGGCAAUCUACACUGUGCCACGCUCUCCUGAGGCAAUUGGACUCCCAUCUACGGUAGAAAAGGUUCAAAGGGGAAGGCCUGGGCCCUAGGCUCUUUGGCGCCCUGUGUGUGGGGUUGUAGGCUUCAGAGAGCUGUGUCAUGCCAAUCAACGCAUGCAAAGCAGCUUGGGGACCACAGUGGAACCUUCUUUAUCAGCACAUCGGAGGCACAAUAGAGAAAACCAUCAUUCCGAGAGACCGGCACUGCGCAGUUCUUUCUGUAACCUAAGGCAGCUGCGUAGUACCAUAGCAUCCCUAAAGAAAAGACAGUGAGAGGCCGAGAAGAGUUUAGGAAAAAAAAAAAAAAAGGCAGUUUCAUUUGGUUUGGUUCAGCAACCAGCAUCAGCCCCCAGGGGCUCUGCACCGCAUUCUCCACGGGCUGAAUGGGCAUGGAAGAAAACUCAGCCUCAUGGAAUGUAAGUGGCUACAGAGUUAGAAUAAAAUCCACUACGGUUGCUAUCGCAAUCCCCCCCCCAACUAAUGAAUUCUGGUUUGCUACAGGCUGCGACUCACUCUCUCAGAGCAUGCCCUCCCUAAGGAGGAGUUAUCUUUCUUUCCAGAUAACCUUCAGCGGUAGGGCUUUUCAAGGUGACUGAGGCCAUGAGGAUGUCUAAGAGGGCAAAGGUAGCACUUCCGGGACAAUAGGACUCCAUCUUUUCUCCACACACCCUGUUUUCAGAUUCGGGAUCAGUCUUUGGCUAUUGAAUCCUUUUGUGCAUGAUUCUGCAUGCUUCUUGCUUUUCUUCCUUUGAAUCUAUCAAACAAGUCACAACAAAUGCCAAUUGCUUUGACUGCUAGAGAAGUACUAGCGGUUCCCAGGGCCAGACACAAUGGGCUUGCCAGUGGCUGCUUCAGCUAACUGUUUAGACAUGGUGGGUCUUAGAUUUACAAGUUGAGAUUUGGAAGGGGGGCAAAGAAGGUUGGAAUAGCGUUUCUGGGGAGACACUGGAACGAUGAGGAAGCCGCUUAUAGUCAGAGGCAGAAUGUAAGUGAGGAUGUGGAGAAAUUGAAAUCCAUGUGUGCUUUUAUGGCAGGAAGUGUAAAUGAGGUAGCAGCUAUGGAAACAAUAUGAUGACUCCUUAAAACGUUCAAAAUAGCAUCACCCUUUGACCUAAAAAGUUCUCGUCUGGAUAUAAUAUAUUCAGGAAAAUGGAAAAUAGGGUCUUAAAGAGAUAAUAGUAUAGCCUUGUUCACAGUCACAUAUAAUUUAGACCAGCAAAAGAACAGAAGCAACCAAAUGAUCAAUAUAUGAGUAGAUAAAGUCAAUGCAGUAGACCAUCAAACGGAAUAUUACUCAGUCAUAAAAAGGACAGAACUAUGACACACCCUACAACAUCAUUGAAUCUUAAGAGUUUAUGCUAAAACACAAAAGGGCACAUAGUGCACGAUUCCAUUGAUAUGAAGUACCUAGCAUACUCUAAUGUAUAUAGACAGAAACUAGAGUGUCUGCCAAGGGCUAGGGGAAGGGGACACAGGAACUAUGUAAUAGGUAUGGAGUUUCAGUUUGGGAUGUUGGAAAAGUUCUGGAUAUAGUGCUGAUGGUUACAUAGCAGCAUGGAUGUGCUCAACACCUCCGAACUGUAUAUUUAAAAAUGGUUAAGAUAGUAAUUUUAUUAUGUUUAUCAUAUCAUUUAAAAAGUAUCAGUAAAAAGCCUGGGAGGUGCCUGAGUUGGCAGACUGAUCGACUUGCAUGCACAAACCACAUGCUCAAUCUCCAGCACUGUGUAAACUGGGCAUGGUGGGUGCAUGCCUGUAAUUCUGACACUUCUGUCUCCCCAGAAACGCUAUUCCAGCCUUCUUUGCCCCCUUCCAAAUCUCAACUUGUAAAUCUAAGACCCACCAAGGUAGAGGCAAGGGGUCAGGACCAGCUACACAGUGAGCUUUGAGUCCAGCUUGGGAUAUACAAGACCUUGUCUCCAAACAACACCAAAAGAUCAAAGGAUACCAAAGAUAAUAAAAAGAAGAAGAGGAAGAAUGCUUUCCAUAUCCACAGAGGGGCAGGGCCAGACAAUUAUGGUCCUUUCUGUGGACAGCAACCAGAGCUUUAGAGGGUUCGGUGUUUCAAAGAUCUGGUAGUGAGUUGACCCCAGACAUCUAGGGAAGCAAGAACUUCUCAGGAUUGCAGCAGGAAUGACCUGGCUUACAAGUCCUCACUUGACAUAAGCCCCAGGGUCAAUGAAGGUCACUCUGGCCAGGCUUCUGGAACCCUGCUGGCUACUGCCGAGUGUGACCAGUUUUACUGCCCUGUAGCUCUCCUAUGCAGCCAUGGAGAGGAUUUCCAACACGAUUGUCUUGUGUUCUAGUGAACAUUUAAAAAUCACAUCCACAAGCUCCUCUGUCUUUUGUGUGUAUGCUUGGUGUGGGGUCCUGAGCAUGUCUGGGCCUUGCAAAAACAGAACUUAAUGAGGUGAGUACUCUGAGCAGUGACCACUGUUGCUGGGUCUUUCUAGCUUUUACAGAGAAUUUCUCACCAUCACCCAGCCCAUGGCAAGAAUUUAGGAAAUCACACUCAACUCUUUAGUUGUUCUGGUGUCUAGCCUCAGCUAACACCUAUGUGUGAGCACUGAGAUGGUAUUUCACUGUAUAUUACUCCAAGAUGGUCUGGCCAGAAGAGCAUCAGCUUGAACUGGGAGCCGGUUAGAAAUCUAAAUUGCCAGCCCCAUCCCUGACCUCCUCCAUCAGAAUCUGCAUUCUGACUGGCUUCCCAGGUGAUUCCUAAGUACAGCAGACACUGAGCAAUCCUGCUCCAUGCUACCUGAGAGUCCCUACUCAUGGGCAUCAUCUGGGGUGCAUUAUCAGAGCAAAGUUCAAACUUCUUCCUAUGUGAGUCUGAUUUGAGAGAACCUUUUCUACCAUAGUGAAAGGAGAAACGGUGAGAUAAAAGACAUAAGAAAUUUGUAGGUCCCCCCCCCACACACACACCUGUGGACAGGCAAGGAAGAGACAGAUUCAAGCUUCUGAGACACAUGGAUACACACACACACACACACACACACACACACACACACACACACACACACACACACACACCUACACACACAGGCAUGACCACAGUGCCCAUGGUCACAUAUGAAAGACCUCCCUGGAAGGGAAACUACUAGACAUAAAGAGCAUUGACUGUCCUGUAUGUUCAUAAGUAAGUUGUAGCCAAUUGUGGGCAUACUCAGUAUUUCAGUUUAGCUUCGACCUUUGAGCAUCAUUGACUUUAUCUCCUGUGGGAGCAUCUCUAACAUAGUCCUGCUUUUUUACAUUAAAAGCAGCUUAUUUAAAAGAAAAAAAAACCCACUAAUCCAGUCAAGGUAGAAAGGCUUAAGGAGAACAAGGUUCCCUCAAGCAUGGAAGAGGCUGUUUUAAGACUAAAUUAGACCCGUGAAAAGCUCUUUGUACUCACUUGUACAAUUGCGUUCCGACUCUCCUUCUCCUGUGCUUUUCAAUGAAUAUAAAGUCUGAAAUCCAGGAGGAAGGAGCUUCUCCCCCUUCCACAUAAGCAUUUCAGUCUUGGUUUCUUGGAAACCCUUGAAGGCCUUGAUUCAUGAAUGAAUCCUAAUUUCACUUGCCUCCUGCUUGACGUAAGGCAGUGAUUCACCCCAAAUUGCACAAAAAUCAAGAACACAUAAACUGGAAGUUAGAUUUCUUAGUACGUGUUUCUCUUCUUUUGUUCCCAUUUAUGCCCAGCAGAAUGUUAUUUUACAACAACUCAGAAAGGCUUUCAGGCAGACACUUGUAAUGGAGAUUUAGGGACCUCAAAGAGCCAGAGGAGCAAAGGUAGACCAUGCAGACUUAUUUUAAAGACAACAUUAGACAGGGAAACUGACUAGCAAGAUGGUGGUGUGGUGGUGGUAUUUCUGUGUAGCAACUGCCAUCAAUGUAUGGGUCGGGUUUGGGACCUGCCAUAGCACAAUGAGAACAUAGACCGAACGGCAGUCCCAGGCUCUGUUCUCCACCCCAAGGGUCCCUCUUGGGUCAUGGCUGUGAUGGAAAGUCAAGGAGCAAGGUGACCGAAGAAGGUAUCUAGAAGAUCCCAACAUUCUCAUGACUCCUCUUACAGGGAAGGGGAAGUGGUCCCGGAAGAUGACGAAGGACAGGUGGGUGAGUGGAGUAUAGGAAGCUAAGAAGCCAAGGCCUCUCUCUUUUCCCAUAUAGGCACUGAUAAGCUUCAGGUUCCUGUUAAUUCCUUCUGAUCUGACAAGGCUGAAAUGUCCUUAGUAACUGAUAUUUUUAAAGCCCCUUAAGAGUCCCUGGUGGCAGGUAGUUGCUAUUUUAAAGCAUAAAAUUUUAGUUAAGGGAAUCAAUCAAUGAGUAAAUCAAUAUUUGUUUAGCAUCUGCAAUGGGCUUCACUUUACACCAGUUUGCAACAGCGUGCAAAGAUUAAGUAGAGCACGUGGGCUGCAACCAGAGAGAGGCUGUUUCUCUAAUACUCACGAGUAGGCUUUAGGAAUGAAAGAAUCUAAGUUCGAAUCUCUGUUCUAUGAAUUUGGAGAGCUGCCUUAUUUCCCCAUGCCUUAGUUUUAUUCCCUGGAAGUAAAAGCUAAUACUAUUUCAUGGGGGUUUUACAAGUAUUCAAUAUGUACAGUGUUUGUAACAUGUUUAGCUCAUCGUGAAAACUCAAUAGCGAGCAAUAAAGAACACAUUCCCUAGGGAAGCCAGAAAUCCUUCCUUCAUUUUUAAACAAAGAUAGUCCUGGAAGCUGACAAAGUAACUGAGCAUCUAGGCUUGCACCUUCCCAGUACUAGAGGGUUAUUUUGUAGUCUAGACAUUUUUUUGUUUUGUUCUGUCUGGUCUGUUUGGGAUGUGUUCUCACUACGCACAGAGAAGAGAGUGUGCGAUCUCUUGGAACGGGAGAGACAGUCAGUUGUGAAGCACCUAGGAUUGGGUCCUGGGAACUGAACUCAGGCUCUCUGGAAGAACAGCAAGAUCUCUUCGUCCUGCUGAACCAUCUCUCCAGCCCCUUUAAGUCUAAAGAGUUGAACAUGGGGUACAUGGACACACGCUCUGGGAAAUCUUCCUGAGGGAAGUGACUGGGGAAGCAUGGACCUAAAAAUCUAAGCUCUGGCUUAUGUAGCUGUGCCUGAGCCUUACAAGUCAGACCGAAGAUGGGUGGGCUCUGAGCUGUCUUCCACUCCAGCUAUCACCGUGUUCUUAACUAGAUCUUCAUACUUCAACUCUUAAAACACCAUGUCUGGUUAUGUACACCCUACUCCUUCAUCAUCUUCUGAUUUCACUCUUGGCUCUUAGGUCUUCCUGCUUUUUUUUUUUUUGGGUGCUUUUUAAAUCGCCUAAGUAGAGUGCAUAAUUUAUCUGCAACUAGGGCCAUCCAUUUAAAUGCAGAAUUUGAUGGGAAGAAGAGGGCAGCAGGAGACAGCAGAGGGCAUAAGACAAGGCCAGGGGAAGAUAAUUAUAAUCAAAGCUCAUUAUAUGCACAUAUAUAACAUCCUAACGAAACCCAAUUAUUUUGUACAAUUAAUACAUGCUAAUAAUUUUUUGUUUAAAGAAAAAGUGCAUAAUUUGAUCAUUUGUAAUGGUCUCUUACAGUAGGAAACCACGAAAGGCAUUCAAAGUAUACAAGCCUUCCAUUACCUGCAGCCCCCUGCAGUGUAAUGGAAGACUCCAUGGUCUCUUUGCAGUCAACUUUCUCACCUUCCUGGACAGCCACUGCCCAGCUUUCUAUAGGU